rnacentral:rRNA from 1 species
AUUGAACGCUGGCGGCAUGCUUUACACAUGCAAGUCGAACGGUAACAGGCCUUCGGGUGCUGCCGAGUGGCGAACGGGUGAGUAAUGCAUCGGAACGUACCCAGAGGUGGGGGAUAACGCAGCGAAAGCUGUGCUAAUACCGCAUGUGAUCUGAGGAUGAAAGCGGGGGACCGAGCAGCAAUGUUUGGCCUCGCGCCUUUGGAGCGGCCGAUGUCGGAUUAGCUAGUUGGUGGGGUAAAGGCCUACCAAGGCGACGAUCCGUAGCUGGUCUGAGAGGACGAACGGCCACAGUGGAAGUAGGACACGGCCCAGACCCCUAGGGGAGGCAGGGGUGGGGAAUGGUGAAGAAGGGGCGGAGGCCUGACCCAGCAAGGCGGGGGGGGGGAAGAGGGCGUUGGGGUUGUAAACCGCUUUGGGGAGGAAAGAAGCGGUUCCGGAUAAUACGGGGCCCAAAGGAGGUAACCUAAAAAAAAAGCCCCGGCUAACUAGGGG